rnacentral:rRNA from 1 species
CCUACGGGAGGCAGCAGUGAGGAAUAUUGGUCAAUGGACGAGAGUCUGAACCAGCCAAGUAGCGUGAAGGAUGACUGCCCUAUGGAUUGUAAACUUCUUUUAUAUGGGAAUAAAACAGGGUAUGCAUACCCUCUUGUAUGUACCAUAUGAAUAAGGAUCGGCUAACUCCGUGCCAGCAGCCGCGGUAAUACGGAGGAUCCGAGCGUUAUCCGGAUUUAUUGGGUUUAAAGGGAGCGUAGGUGGAUUGUUAAGUCAGUUGUGAAAGUUUGCGGCGCAACCGUAAAAUUGCAGUUGAAACUGGCAGUCUUGAGUACAGUAGAGGUGGGCGGAAUUCGUGGUGUAGCGGUGAAAUGCUUAGAUAUCACGCAGAACUCCGAUUGCGAAGGCAGCUCACUGGACUGCAACUGACACUGAUGCUCGAAAGUGUGGGUAUCGAACAGGAUUAGAUACCCCUGUAGUC